UUUAUGAAGUAAUGUCAUUUGUCUGAGAAGAAAAUAAUUCUUACCUGAAAUUUGGCAUGGAAAGUGCUUGACUUGGAACACUAUGAUUUUUAGAGAAAGAAGAUGCCCUUCCUCAGUAUCUUGUGAUGUGCAAAGUUUCAUGUCAGAUCAGCUCCCCAGCACAGGUCAGCAAACAGCAUGAAUUGUUCUCUGCAAGUAGGUCAGAUCCAGGAGAACCCAGGGAGCAGGAUAGCAAACUGCAGAGUGUGCAGACCUUGGACUCAAGCGUGGCACUCCCAAGCUAAGCUGCUUGCCGUUUUUAUCUGGAAGUGUCUCAUUGCUCUGAAAGGGUUAUAGUCCUCUGCAGUCACUGAACCCAAAGACUUGGCUUGGCUGCAGAUCAAGCGCGUGAAGAACGUGUGACCUUCUCAACACAGAAAACCUUUGUCAUGAAAUGAACUCAAGUACCAACAGAGAGAUUUGUACUGGGAAUAACCAGUGCCUCUCUCCUUCUUCUGUGAAGAGAUGCAUAGUUCAGCCAGUGCUUCUCACAGGCAGUUGUUACUUUGUUAAACUAAAUUUUCCUGGGCUCUUCCUGAGUCCUUGGGUUAAACAGUUAUCACCACAGAAAGAGAGGACACUCAACUGUUCCCACACAUGGAACUAAGGGAGGAAUUAGUUGUUUCCUAUUAUCUGCUUCCAAAGGCAGGCUCUCCCAUCACUGAAUGAGACAAGAAACAAUGUUAUAACCUCAUAAUUUGGAAGGGUAAGAGCAUAAACCUUACUAUUUGGAUCAUCCUCUCUUACCCCUCCAAUGUGACUGCAGACAUGUGGAUGCUGUUUACUUCCUCUCUAAUGAGACAGGUUCUGCAAAGGAGAACUUCAGUGCUAUAAAAAUAUUGACCUGGAAAAGGCCUGUCUGAAAAUCUUCUAUAUGAAAUUCUAAAGCCUGGUUACAAACAUUAAUGUAAAGUGUUUCACAACUUUCUUGUCAGACAGGUAAUUGUUGUUAUCACCAUUUCAUGUCUUGCAUGAACUGGGACAAAGACUAUGUGAGUUGCUCAAAGUGACAGAGAUGAGAACAGCAUCCAGCUCCCAAAGCUAAGAAUACAUAAGGCAUGGCAGAUCCCCACUCCAUUUAAUUUCAUGAACAAAGCAUAUUAAUGUACAGAUGAA